rnacentral:rRNA from 1 species
UUGAUCCUGGCUCAUGAUGAACGCUAGCGGUCUGCUUAACACAUGCAAGUCGAACGGGCUCUUCGGAGCUAGUGGCGGACGGGUGAGUAACGCGUGAGAAUCUGCCUUCAGGAGGGGGAUAACGACUGGAAACGGUCGCUAAUACCCCAUAUGCCUCCGGGUGAAAAGUAAUUCGCCUGAAGAUGAGCUCGCGUCAGAUUAGCUAGUUGGUGGGGUAAGAGCCUACCAAUGCGACGAUCUGUAGCUGGUCUGAGAGGAUGAUCAGCCACACUGGGACUGAGACACGGCCCAGACUCCUACGGGAGGCAGCAGUGGGGAAUUUUCCGCAAUGGGCGCAAGCCUGACGGAGCAAGACCGCGUGGGGGAUGACGGCCUAAUGGUUGUAAACCCCUUUUCUCUGGGAAGAAGACUGACGGUACCAGAGGAAUCAGCCUCGGCUAACUCCGUGCCAGCAGCCGCGGUAAUACGGAGGAGGCAAGCGUUAUCCGGAAUUAUUGGGCGUAAAGCGUCCGUAGGUGGUUAUUCAAGUCUGCUGUCAAAGCGUGGGGCUUAACUCCAUAGAGGCAGUGGAAACUGAGUGACUAGAGUGCGGUAGGGGUCGAGGGAAUUCCCAGUGUAGCGGUGAAAUGCGUAGAUAUUGGGAAGAACACCAGUGGCGAAAGCGCUCGACUGGGCCUGCACUGACACUGAGGGACGAAAGCUAGGGGAGCGAAAGGGAUUAGAUACCCCUGUAGUCCUAGCCGUAAACGAUGGAUACUAGGUGUUGCUCGUCAUCGACCCGAGCAGUGCCGUAGCCAACGCGUUAAGUAUC